rnacentral:rRNA from 1 species
UACGGGGGGGGCAAGCGUUGUUCGGAAUUACUGGGCGUAAAGCGUGCGCAGGCGGUUUUGUAAGCCAGAUGUGAAAUCCCCGGGCUUAACCUGGGAAUGGCAUUUGGGACUGCAAGGCUUGAGUUUGGCAGAGGAGACUGGAAUUCCUGGUGUAGCAGUGAAAUGCGUAGAUAUCAGGAGGAAUACCGAUGGCGAAGGCAGGUCUCUGGGCUAGAACUGACGCUCAUGCAC